UCCGUAGGUGAACCUGCGGAAGGAUCAUUAAAGAAUCGCCCCGUUUUUUGAAAUGGGUUCUAUUCCCAAACCGUGUAUACAUACCUUUGUUGCUUUGGCAGGCCGCCUUUUAGGCGUCGGCUCCGGCUGACUGCGCCUGCCAGAGGACCCAAACUCGUUUGUUUAGUGAUGUCUGAGUACUAUAUAAUAGUUAAAACUUUCAACAACGGAUCUCUUGGUUCUGGCAUCGAUGAAGAACGCAGCGAAAUGCGAUAAGUAAUGUGAAUUGCAGAAUUCAGUGAAUCAUCGAAUCUUUGAACGCACAUUGCGCCCCUUGGUAUUCCGAGGGGCAUGCCUGUUCGAGCGUCAUUAUAACCACUCAAGCCUCGGCUUGGUCUUGGGGUUCGCGGUCUCGCGUCCCUUAAAAUCAGUGGCGGUGCCGUCUGGCUCUAAGCGUAGUAAUUCUCUCGCUAUAGGGUCCCGGCGGUUGCCUGCCAGAACCCCCCAUUUUUUACGGUUGACCUCGGAUCAGGUAGGGAUACCCGCUGAACUUAA
rnacentral:rRNA from 1 species